rnacentral:sRNA from 1 species
UCCGAGAAGACGCCAGGUGGACUUGUCAGAAACUGGCAUUUGCGCGCCGCAGGAAUGCGAUCCUUGCAUCUGCUUUCUUUGUAUGAUCCUACAACAACUGCUUGCUAACAGAUUCUCUGGCCACCUGUUCUAUGUUUCUCCAUAUUUGGUUCGUCACCCCUGCCUAGGAGGCCAGUAUCAACAGAUAUUCCUUCAAGCUUCACCUUAGGCUUGCUUAUUCAGUAUAUUAUCACCUGUUCCCAACAUGCAGCCGGAAAACACUUUUGCUACUUUUCCUUGAAUAGAAGCUUCAAGGGGUCUGACCCAGGAUCUGUCGAAUUGGGCUUGCGGGCUUCCGUUUUGCCAGGGUUCUUUGUCGCAAUUAACGCAGGCACAAGAAGCUGCGACCCUUCUCCGUCUCGAGGAAAUGGUCAUCCCACCGAAACCACGGUGCUCGACAUAGGCUAUUCGUCAUCAAUAACACCAGCAGAACGUAGGAUUCUUCCACUCUUCAGGUUAG